rnacentral:rRNA from 1 species
CCUAACACAUGCAAGUCGAACGGGAAGCGGUGCAUAUUGCUUCGGUGAUAAUGUGCCGUGGAGAGUGGCGAACGGGUGCGUAACACGUAGGUAACCUGCCCUGAAAGGGGGGAUAACCACGGGAAACUGUGGCUAAUACCGUAUAAUCUCGCCGUGGCGGUGGUUACGGUGAGGAAAGCUGAGGCGAUUUGGGAGGGGCCUGCGGUCGAUUAGCUGGUUGGUGGGGUAAAGGCCCACCAAGGCGAUGAUCGAUAGCUGUUCUGAGAGGAAGACCAGCCACACGGGAACUGAGACACGGUUCCGACUCCUACGGGGGGCAGCAGUGAGGAAUAUUGCGCAAUGGGGGGAACCCUGACGCAGCAACGCCGCGUGGAGGACGAAGGUUUUCGGAUUGUAAACUCCUUAACUGGGGGAAGAGAGAGGACGGUACCCCAGGACGAAGACACGGCUAACUAGGUGCCAGCAGCCGCGGUAAUACCUAGGUGUCGAGCGUUAUCCGGAAUUACUGGGCGUAAAGGGUGCGCAGGCGGUGUUACAAGUCCGGCGUGAAAGCUUCUGGCUUAACUGGGAGAGGACGUCGGAAACUGUAGUGCUAGAGU